rnacentral:rRNA from 1 species
GAGUUUGAUCUUGGCUCAGAUUGAACGCUGGCGGCAUGCCUUACACAUGCAAGUCGAACGGCAGCAUGAUCUAGCUUGCUAGAUUGAUGGCGAGUGGCGAACGGGUGAGUAAUACAUCGGAACGUGCCCUGUAGUGGGGGAUAACUAGUCGAAAGAUUAGCUAAUACCGCAUACGACCUGAGGGUGAAAGUGGGGGACCGCAAGGCCUCAUGCUAUAGGAGCGGCCGAUGUCUGAUUAGCUAGUUGGUGGGGUAAAGGCCCACCAAGGCGACGAUCAGUAGCUGGUCUGAGAGGACGAUCAGCCACACUGGGACUGAGACACGGCCCAGACUCCUACGGGAGGCAGCAGUGGGGAAUUUUGGACAAUGGGGGCAACCCUGAUCCAGCAAUGCCGCGUGUGUGAAGAAGGCCUCGGUGUAAG